rfam:Salmo salar isolate Sally breed double haploid chromosome ssa16, whole genome shotgun sequence.
GCCUCGUUGGCGCAGCAGGCAGUGCGUCAGUCUCAUAGUCUGAAGGUCGUGAGUUCGAUCCUCACACGGGGCA